rnacentral:lncRNA from 1 species
GAGUCAGAUGCCUCCCUCCUCCCCCACAGAGGUCUCCCACCAUUCUAACCUCACAGGGCUUGGGGUGGGAUGAGAUUUAAAUUUAUAUGAAAAUACUUACAAAUAUUUUAAAAUUAUUUCUUACUGUUGCUAUAUUUAUCAUACAAAAAUAUGAAUACUUAAUCAUUUUUAGGUGAGGCUAGUGUAAAAAAAUGGACCUUCCAAUCAAAACUCUAUAAAUAAAUACCGGUUGUUCCUUUCCAUGUUUAGUGCUUCCUUCAGGAGCUCUUGUAAGGAGGCCUAGUGAUGACAAAAUCUCUCAGCAUUUGCUUGUGUGUAAAGGAUUUUAUUUCUCCUUCACUUAUGAAGGUUAUUUUGGCUGGAUAUAAAAUUCUGGAUUGAAAAUAGUUUUCUUUAAGAAUGUUGAAUAUUGUCCCCCACUCUCUUUUGGCUUGUAGGGUUGCCGCCAAGAGAUCUGCUGUUAGUCUGAUGGGCUUCCCUUUGUGGGUAACCUGACCUUUCUCUCUGGCUGUCUUUA